rnacentral:lncRNA from 1 species
UGGCAUAAGGUAUUUCCAGCUAAGGGCAGUGCUCAGCGACAUUUGAUGUCUGAGUCACUGAUGACCUUUGCUCUUCAGAUUUCCAGCUUGUUGGCUGCUUCAUGGGCUGGGCCCAAGGGGCUCAGUUACUGACACCAUCAGGAAAGGGCUCUCAGGGAAACAUGCUGAAAGCUAUUUCCAUUUAUUUGUAUUUGCUGCCUUUGACUUUGGACAGUAGCUCAGCUCCUGGGAGAUCUGUGGGGGAUGUAUGUGUUGAGAGUUCUGGGGGUGAGCUGAAGGCCCCGGAUCCUUGAACUAGACCCUGCAGAAAGCGAUGGAUUCAGCCAAGGCCAGGGUUCUGCCUAGGGGCUGAUGGGAGCGUGGCAUCCUGGGACGCUUCCCCAGAGUGGCCACUAGAGGGGGCCCGCUCUCAGCUGCACUCUAGAAGUGAUACCUGGAGGGCAUCCCUAGGUUGGCCCAUGGUGGAGCAGGUGGGAUGUCAAGCUGGUCCAGGGUAAUAAUGUCUUUCAAACUUGUUAAUUGAAAUCUUACAUGGGGUCCCACAUUCCAGGGACAGUUAGCAGGGAAAACUUUGGGGUGGAGGGGAAGGAGCAGCGUAGAGAGAGGAAAUCUGUCCAUUUGUACACAGACUUCUG